GGUGAGCAGAUUAAGUGGGUGGGAGAAAACCCUCUUUGAGGUGGGGGGAUGGUAGGGAGUAUGGGGUGAAGAACUCAGAGAAAGGGGACCAGGAAAAGAGCAACUUAUGGGUAUGAACACCAAGAUCAAGAGCAGGAAGGACAUGGAAAGCCUCAUGGCUGCUGGGGACCAAGCAUCCAGGAACUUGGUGCUUGUUAAUCUCACUUGAUUAGCCCUGGCCUUUUUUUUUUUUUUUUUUUUUGGUUACUUUUUGUUUUUGUUGUGGAUGUUUUGAAUUUUUUGGUUUUUUUUUUUUGUUGUUUUUUUUUGGGGGGGGG
rnacentral:lncRNA from 1 species